rnacentral:rRNA from 1 species
AUUGAACGCUGGCGGCAUGCUUUACACAUGCAAGUCGAACGGUAACAGGCCUUCGGGUGCUGACGAGUGGCGAACGGGUGCGUAAUGCAACGGCACGUACCCAGAGGCGGGGGAUAACGCAGCGAAAGCUGUGCUAAUACCGCAUGUGAUCUGAGGAUGAAAGCGGGGGAGCGAGCAGCAAUGUUUGGCCUCGCGCCUUUGGAGCGGCCGAUGUCGCAUUAGCUAGUUGGUGAGGUAAAGGCCUACCAAGGCGACGAUCCGUAGCUGGACUGAGAGGACGACCAGCCACACUGGGACUGAGACACGGCCCAGACUCCUACGGGAGGCAGCAAUGGGGAAUUUUGCACAAUGGGCGCAAGCCUGAUCCAGCAAUGCCGCGUGCGGGAAGAAGGCCUUCGGGUUGUAAACCGCUUUUGGCAGGAACGAAACGGUGUCCGCUAAUACCGGGCGCUAAUGACGGUACCUGCAGAAUAAGCACCGGCUAACUACGUG